GAGCGCCGAGUCAGAAGAGAGCUAAAAUGGCGGAGGUUGGGAGUCCCUGCUUUUACUCUGUUUGCAAACUCUUGUUUCAUUGUUUAAGCGAUUAAAUCUCUCGAGUAGACGCUGUCUCUUUAGAUGCGAGGGCAAAAUAGCACUUUAUGGACUUCCACAGAGGACAUCAUGUUUAAUACGGUUCCGGAAAAAUCCAGUCAGAAGUUGUUCACGGAGUUUUCACAAUAACUGCUUCUCAUGAACCGAAGCUGGAUUUGCGCGACGUCUCCUCUUGAAAGUUGGAUUACUGUGCACUUCUGGAUCACAGACUAUUCGCAGCUGGACACAUCCUUCUACACUGUAUGCAAACAUGCAACAUCAUUACACACAGUACAAGGAGUCAGACUGGCAUAUGAGGAGCAAAGGAACCCAGACAGUAGCAUCGUUUCACAAUGUUUCCAUCACCAUCAUCAGUGGAUGCCUUUGCCGUCCGUAGCCUGAGAUUUCAGAUUUGCAGCAAAAAAAUUGAUUUUCUCAUUUAUUGGAAUGCUGUGCAGGUAUUUGUACCUUGCAGCCAUCCAUUACAAUGUCACCAAGCCGUAACAAAAGCAGGAGAGGGAAAGUACAAGGCUAUGUUCCCAAAACACACAAGUGACAUACCUUAUGUGGAUGAUGUGAUCAGGCUUGUGUUUGCUGAGGUAUUUGAAGAUAAGCUGAAGGAAACCCCGAUUCCAAUGGACCUGGCAUCACAGUUUGAGAGACCUUCAAAGGAGGACGUGAUUGCAUGCCAUCUUCAGUGCAGGGGUCGUCGAAAGCCAAAAUUGUGACCGAUCUGAUCAGGAAGCUCCAAGCGUAUCUGGAGAACAACACACGACAGGAUGAUAACCUUAUAGUGUCGUCUUAGAUAGCACCAGCUGACAAAGCUUUGAUAUGCCAUUUAUCUGAAUAGAUAGCUGUAAGAAAUGAAUUGAACAAUUUUUGAAACAAGAGCACAAUAUGGUUACUAA